rnacentral:rRNA from 1 species
AACGAACGCUGGCGGCAUGCCUAACACAUGCAAGUCGAACGAGACCUUCGGGUCUAGUGGCGCACGGGUGCGUAACGCGUGGGAAUCUACCCUUGGGUUCGGAAUAACUCAGAGAAAUUUGAGCUAAUACCGGAUGAUGUCGCAAGACCAAAGAUUUAUCGCCCAAGGAUGAGCCCGCGUAGGAUUAGCUUGUUGGUGAGGUAAAAGCUCACCAAGGCGACGAUCCUUAGCUGGUCUGAGAGGAUGAUCAGCCACACUGGGACUGAGACACGGCCCAGACUCCUACGGGAGGCAGCAGUGGGGAAUAUUGGACAAUGGGCGAAAGCCUGAUCCAGCAAUGCCGCGUGAGUGAUGAAGGCCUAGGGUUGUAAAGCUCUUUUACCCGGGAUGAUAAUGACAGUACCCGUAGAAGAAGCUACCGGCUAACUUCGUGCCAGCAGCCGCGGUAAU